rnacentral:lncRNA from 1 species
CAUCUUCUGGCCUGCGCACUCCUACACACAUGUGACGUGCCCUGCCACACACACAAAAGAGCAGGAUGGAGCAACAGAUUUCUCUUCUUUGUCUCUUGUAUAAUAUUUAUUUGAAGUGCUGUGGAUUGAAACCAGGACCUAGGGCAUUUUGGGUAAACACUGAAACACUAAACUAAAUACCUCACCCCAAUAUCUUUAUUUUUUUUAAUUUAUCCUUUGUUAAUGUUUGAAUAUGGUUAAACAUUUCAUUUAACCUAAGAGAUAGCUAGAUAUUAUAAAUAUGAGGAAAAAAGUAUACUUCACAAAACUUAAAUGAUUAAAAGUAAAUAUUGUUGGCUACUAUUUUUCUAAGCUUUUGUAUAUGUGCAUGUGUGUGUAUGUAUGAGAGACAGAGAGAGAAAGAGACAGACAGACAGAUGGACAGACAGACAGACAGAGCACAAAAAAACUUUACUUAACAUUUUUUUUCUAGCAAACACACUGAGAUCCCUAAUUCAGCUGUAGUUUGGGCCCAAAUCAAAAAAGCAGAGAGGAAGGUGGUGGGCGGCGGAUAGGAACAUCAAAGGCUGUGAAGGUGACUGUGGGUAAAGUGUUCGCCAUUCCAGUGUAGGACUGAAAUCUGGAACCUAUGUAAUAGCCAGGCAGAAACAGCAGCUGCCUACAAUGCCCAAGACAGGGUAAAAAGACAGGACCCCUGGGGCAAACUGGCUGGGUAGACUACCUGCGACUGGUGAGCUCCUAGUGAAGAAACUCUGUCUCAAUAAAUAAAGCAGGGGAGCAAUCAAGGUGGACACUGACAUCAACCUAGGACCCUCACAUGCACACACACGUACACACACCAUGCACACGCGCACACGAAAUCCAAUAAAAACUUUAAGAGUAAAGAUGUAGGGACUCUAUAGAGAUGCUGAUUCUCUGGUAUUUGUGUGUUCUGCCACUAUGUGUUUUGUUCAUAUCACACAUGAGUUUGUCUUCUUUUAUUAAACCAUUUCCUAACAUUAAGAUGCUGUCUUAGAUGUAGAGGAUACAAAUCCCUCUUGGAUUAGAACCUGCUUCCCCAUUUCUGACAGUCAGAUGUAUUGUUCAUCAUUCAUAUUCAUCCAUCUGCUGUAAGAAACUGUAACACAGGCACAAAGACAAGCAUCAGCAGGCCACCAGCCACAGGACUGUCAGUGAAGGUCAGCAGGCCACCAGCCACAGGACUGUCAGUGAAGGUCAGCAGGCCACCAGCCACAGGACUGUUAGUGAAGGUCAGCAGGCCACCAGCCACAGGACUGCCAGUGAAGGUCAGCAGGCCACCAGCCACAGGACUUCCAGUGAAGGAGCACAGGCCACCAGCCACAGGACUGUCAGUGAAGGUCAGCAGGCCACAACGCCCUGCAGAGCUCUGCCCUAUCUCCAGGAAGCACCUGGACUCAAAGGGCUGGCUUCCAUACUGAGUGCAGGAAGCCAGAAACCAGCCUAGUGCUGCCCAGUGUUUCACAGUUUUUAAAUAUUCAUCAAAGAUUGAAUUUCAUUAUAUUGUUUAUCUAUUAUAAUUUUAGCGGCAGUUUCAAGUAGCCCAGGCGGGCUUCCCACCUCUCUGAGGCCAAGGGUGAUCCUGUGUUCCAAUCCUGCUGCUUCCCUUUCCCCAGUGCUCGAGUCACAGGCAUGGACCACCUGCCCAGUUUUAUGAGGUGUUAGGGGUUGGACCUAGGACUUCAUGCAUGCUCUAGACAGGCAUCCUACCAGGCAACUACAUCAGCAUUUUUAUGAGAAUCCUAACAUACCAAUCUUUUAUUUGAAAUGCAUUUUUCAAUGACAACUAAUUCAAAAACUUGUUGGGAACCCAACAUGCGUCUUCCCGAUGGAGAACAAUCCACUCGGGACCAGUUUUAGCUUGGGGACGGCUCGUGUGAGAGUCUGGGACGAGCUGUCUCUAAGGUCUCUUUCUACUUAAACAGUUUUAUGAUUUUCAUUAAGCCAUGCUGAAGUUUAAAUCACAGCGGCACAAAUCCAAUUAAAAUCACAGCUGCAAAUGCCAGAACAAAGUCUCCAAGUCACAUGUACCUCGACAAAAACAGGUCCUCAGUGAAGCCAUUCAUCGUGUUCAAUAAAGUAGCUGGUAGCACAAGCUAGGAAGAUCGUUAAAUCUAAAUCAGGAAAUGGAUACAUUUAGUCCUGGGUAUAACUCUCUUGAGACUGGGGGAAAACAGGCGUGUGAUGUCGGUUCUGCCAUUAUCGACUGGGAGUUGCUUUCUUUUUCUGAAAUGGAAAGAUCAUGUGGGUGCUGGUGACACAUAAUCUCACAUCCCAGAGAGGAAAGUGCAAGCCCUUCCAGGACUUCACUGAGUCCUGUCAGAUCACAGUCCUAUGGCUUCCGCUGUGAUACCAUGCACAACUCUAACUGUGCUGUCUUCAGGUAUCUCAAAGCAUUCCCUGGGACCUAGCAAGAAAGUUCCAGAAAACAUG